rnacentral:tRNA from 1 species
GCAUAGUUAGCUUAGUUGGUAGUGCGUCUGCCUUGUAAGCGCUAGGCCGCGGGUUCGAUUCCCGCAUAAUAAA